rnacentral:rRNA from 1 species
CCUACGGGAGGCAGCAGUGGGGAAUUUUGGACAAUGGGCGCAAGCCUGAUCCAACCAUGCCGCGUGCGGGAAGAAGGCCUUCGGGUUGUAAACCGCUUUUGUCAGGGAAGAAAUCCUUUGGGCUAAUACCUCGGAGGGAUGACGGUACCUGAAGAAUAAGCACCGGCUAACUACGUGCCAGCAGCCGCGGUAAUACGUAGGGUGCGAGCGUUAAUCGGAAUUACUGGGCGUAAAGCGUGCGCAGGCGGUUAUGCAAGACAGAUGUGAAAUCCCCGGGCUUAACCUGGGAACUGCAUUUGUGACUGCAUAGCUCGAGUACGGCAGAGGGGGAUGGAAUUCCGCGUGUAGCAGUGAAAUGCGUAGAUAUGCGGAGGAACACCGAUGGCGAAGGCAAUCCCCUGGGCCUGUACUGACGCUCAUGCACGAAAGCGUGGGGAGCAAACAGGAUUAGAUACCCUGGUAGUCCACGCCCUAAACGAUGUCAACUGGUUGUUGGACGGCUUGCUGUUCAGUAACGAAGCUAACGCGUGAAGUUGACCGCCUGGGGAGUACGGCCGCAAGGUUGAAACUCAAAUGAAUUGAGGCUGAGAGNGCGACGACGACGACGAGGGAGGAGG